GACGAACGCUGGCGGCGUGCUUAACACAUGCAAGUCGAACGGAAAGGCCCCUUUGGGGGUACUCGAGUGGCGAACGGGUGAGUAACACGUGAGUAACCUGCCCUUGACUUCGGGAUAACUUCAGGAAACUGAGGCUAAUACCGGAUAGGAAUCCUUGCUGCAUGGUGGGGGUUGGAAAGCUUCGGCGGUUUUGGAUGGACUCGCGGCUUAUCAGCUUGUUGGUGGGGUAGUGGCUUACCAAGGCUUUGACGGGUAGCCGGCCUGAGAGGGCGACCGGCCACAUUGGGACUGAGAUACGGCCCAGACUCCUACGGGAGGCAGCAGUGGGGAAUAUUGCACAAUGGGCGGAAGCCUGAUGCAGCAACGCCGCGUGCGGGAUGACGGCCUUCGGGUUGUAAACCGCUUUCAGCAGGGGCGAAGCUUGUGGUGACGGUACCUGCAGAAGAAGCACCGGCUAACUACGUG
rnacentral:rRNA from 1 species